rnacentral:rRNA from 1 species
GAUGAACGCUGGCGGCGUGCCUAAUACAUGCAAGUCGAGCGAACAGAUGAGGAGCUUGCUCCUCUGACGUUAGCGGCGGACGGGUGAGUAACACGUGGAUAACCUACCUAUAAGACUGGGAUAACUUCGGGAAACCGGAGCUAAUACCGGAUAAUAUAUUGAACCGCAUGGUUCAAUAGUGAAAGGCGGUUUUGCUGUCACUUAUAGAUGGAUCCGCGCCGCAUUAGCUAGUUGGUAAGGUAACGGCUUACCAAGGCAACGAUGCGUAGCCGACCUGAGAGGGUGAUCGGCCACACUGGAACUGAGACACGGUCCAGACUCCUACGGGAGGCAACAGUAGGGAAUCUUCCGCAAUGGGCGAAAGCCUGACGGAGCAACGCCGCGUGAGUGAUGAAGGUCUUCGGAUCGUAAAACUCUGUUAUUAGGGAAGAACAAAUGUGUAAGUAACUAUGCACGUCUUGACGGUACCUAAUCAGAAAGCCACGGCUAACUACGUG